rnacentral:misc_RNA from 1 species
GAUGAAGAACGCAGCGAAAUGCGAUAAGUAAUGUGAAUUGCAGAAUUCAGUGAACCAUCGAAUCUUUGAACGCACAUUGCGCCCGGCAGUAAUCUGCCGGGCAUGCCUGUCCGAGCGUCAUUUCUGCCCUCGAGCGAGUCCAGCAUCUAGGUGCUGGGCCCGCCCGGCGUUGGGGCACUACGGGAAGCCCUGUGCUGUCCCCCGUAGGCCCCGAAAUGAAGUGGCGGUCCUGCCGCGGCGCCCCCUGCGUAGUAUAACAGCUCGCUUCGGGACCCGGUGGAGGCCUGCCGUCAAACCUUACUCUCUAAGUUUGACCUCGGAUCAGGUAGGGUUACCCGCUGAACUUAAGCAUAUCAAUAAGCGGAGGA